rnacentral:lncRNA from 1 species
CAUGUCACCGAAAGUGUGAAAUUCCAGGCAGAUGCAUUCAUAGUCUGCCUGAAGCGUCGAAUAUAAACUAAAGUGCGAACUGGCAGACCGAUGAAUUUCUAUUCUACAUGACCCAGGUGGAAUAAGAAAAUUUAAAAUUUUCAAGUACACAUGACAGAGCCAAUCUUGUAGAAACGCAAACAUAUGUUGAUAUGGAUAUGGCUUUAUGGAAGCUGCUAAUUCUGGCCCGAAAUGUCAACACAAGUCGACCAUAAUUCAAACCCUCUCAAAUAAUCACUAUACCCAAAUAAGGGAAUAUAAACCUUAAAUCCAAAUAUAAACCAUAAACCCAAAUAGAAUGGAACAAAAUAAAUAAUAGAAUACAUAUUGGUCAAAUUAUGAAAUGUCUAUUAUUGCAUGGAAGAAGUUAAUGUCGACCCCAACUAUAUCUCCUCACCUUCUAAAAACUAAACCAUAAAUUAUAGUCACAAAACUCCAACCCAAAUAUAAAUCCUAAACUCAAAUAUCAAAAUCUAAAAAGUAAAUAAGAUUAGUAAUAUUAAAUUGUAUUAUGUAACAUGCUCUAUUCUAUAUAAUUAAAAUAAAAACACAUGAUAUAUGAUAGUUCAGAAAUGUUCUAUUCCAUAUCACCAAAAUAGUAUAUAACACCAACCUCGUACAACCCCCUCAAUAAUUAACCAUAUAACAACUCCACCAUAAAUCCCUAAAUACUUAACCUUAAACCAUAAUCACUAAACCCUAAACUAAGAUAUAAACCUUCAAACUAAAUAGAAUGAAACUAAAUAAAUAACAUAGUACAUACUGGUGAAAUUAUGAAAUGUCUAUGAUAACAUGGAAGAAGUUAAUUCUAACCUCAACCUUACCCCCCACCGACAAAAUGCUAUACCCUAAACCUUAAUCACUAAACCCUAAACCCAAAUAUAAACCAUAAACCCCAAAUAUUAAAAGUAUGUAAAGUAAUUAAUUUUCCUUAAAUCAUAAACCUAACCCCCAAUCUCACUCACCCU